rnacentral:lncRNA from 1 species
AUUAAAUACAUACAUUGUAGAUGUAAAGUUCCAAGUGAUAAACAAAAAUACAAUAUUAAUGAAAAAUAUUUGAUACAAAUAUGAAAAUAACAAAAAGGUAAAAAAUCAUCAAAAUACAAAGAAAUUACCGAUAAUAAAUAAAAUUAAAAUAUAAAAUAUCAUAAAGCAAAUAUGAUGUCAAACAGAUUAAACCAAAUAAAUAUAUAAUUAUUAUUAAUUAGUUGAUUAAUACAAAUAUAAAAGUAAAAUAUACUUAGUUAACCAUUUAAAUAUAGUAAGAAAAUAUGUUGAGAGCCCUAAAAUUUGUUAUAUGAAAAAAAAACUAAGGCAGCA